UACGUAGGUGGCAAGCGUUACUCGGAAUCACUAGGCGUAAAGCGCAGGUAGGCGGUUUGGUAAGUCUGUUGUGAAAGCUCCCGGCUCAACUGGGAGAGGUCAACGGAAACUGCCAGGCUCGAGUGUGGUAGAGGUAGCUGGAAUUCCCGGUGUAGCGGUGAAAUGCGUAGAUAUCGGGAGGAAUACCUAUGGCGAAAGCAGGCUACUGGACCAUCACUGACGCUGAUCUGCGAAAGCUAGGGGAGCAAACAGG
rnacentral:rRNA from 1 species